AACGAACGCUGGCGGCAGGCCUAACACAUGCAAGUCGAGCGCCCUUUCGGGGGAGCGGCGGACGGGUGAGUAACGCGUGGGAAUAUGCCCUUCUCUACGGAAUAGCCUCGGGAAACUGAGAGUAAUACCGUAUACGCCCUGUGGGGGAAAGAUUUAUCGGGGAAGGAUUAGCCCGCGUUGGAUUAGGUAGUUGGUGGGGUAAUGGCCUACCAAGCCGACGAUCCAUAGCUGGUUUGAGAGGAUGAUCAGCCACACUGGGACUGAGACACGGCCCAGACUCCUACGGGAGGCAGCAGUGGGGAAUCUUAGACAAUGGGGGCAACCCUGAUCUAGCCAUGCCGCGUGAGUGAUGAAGGCCUUAGGGUUGUAAAGCUCUUUCAACUGGGAAGAUAAUGACGGUACCAGCAGAAGAAGCCCCGGCUAACUCCGUG
rnacentral:rRNA from 1 species